UUCGUUUCGAUUUCUCAGGCGCGCAUGGAGCAGCAGCAGAGCCAUGCUUUAUGGAACAAGAUUUGUAGAAGGCGAGUAGAAAGUAAGCAGCACCAACUGUCUGCCUGACUCGGACGGAACACACGGAGAAGAAGCUGAGGAGUGAGUGAGAGGUCGUCUUCACUUCAUCCUCGUCUUUCUUUCGUCUACUGCUGCUACUAAAGGCUAAAUAAUUAAGCUGCAUCCACUACGGGUACGGUGGCGGGCGGGCG
rnacentral:lncRNA from 1 species